rnacentral:pre_miRNA from 15 species
CAGCGCGGCCCUGUCCCCCAGCCUGAGGUGCAGUGCUGCAUCUCUGGUCAGUUGGGAGUCUGAGAUGAAGCACUGUAGCUCGGGAAGGGAGGGGGGGGGCUGGAAG